GUGAAAGUCAUUGAUAUGAACGAUGCCCCCGUGUUUAAGAAACAAGUAGAAAAAGUCUACCGCAAUGAAAACGGACCUCCAGGAGAUGUGUUGUUAGUGCCCGAGGUCAAAGAUGAGGACUCGGACAUCAGCAAACUCAGAAUUGAUCCAUCUGCUUCUGUCUUCUGUCUCGUUCAACACUAAACACCUGUAACCCAGUGCCACUGGAAGCCAUGCACGCUCAUAUCAUCACACUGCUCCACCAUGAAUGAAAGAGAAAAGAAUGCUUUCCAGAAGUUGUUUUGCUUUAUUAUAAGUUUUUUGGCAAAGUCUAAUCUGGUCUUGUUUGCAGUUUGUGGUGAAGCCUCUGUAUUUGCUCUGGUGAAGUCUUCUCUUGAUUGUAUACUUUGACAGUGACACGUCUGUCUCCAUGAGAGUGUUCUUCUCUUGGUUGGAUGAUGUGAAAGGGUUUUUCUUUACCAUAGAGAGAAUUCUCCGAUCAUCCACCACUGUUGUCCUUCGUGGACAUCCCAGCCUUUUUAUGUUGCUGAGCUCACUAGUGCUUUCUUUUAUUUCUCAGAUUGUACCAAAUUGUUGAUUCAGCCAUUCCUAUGUUCCUUUUUUCUGAUGGAUUUGGAAAUAAUGUAAAUUGUUUGUCUCUGUUGUAUAGAGAGAUCCUUUGACCACAUGAUGUGGUUCACAGCAACAGCUUCCAAAUGCAAAUGACACACUUCAACUCCAGAACGUUUACAUGCUUAACUGAUGUAGAAAUAAUGAAGGAAUAGCCCACAUCUGUCCAUGAAAUGACUUUUCAGUCAACUGUCCAAUUACCCAAGGUCCCUUUAAAAAGGGGGCAAGUACAUAUUAAAGAGCUGUAAUUCAUUAACCUUUCCUCCAACUGUGAUGAGAAUAUCGUCAAAUUAAAGCUCAAAGUGUGCACUUUUAGCCCAUAAUCAUUAUAUAACUUGUAUAUGUACAGUAUAUAAUAUGUAACUUGAAUGUUUUGGUCAGCAGCUAAAAUAAUACAAUUUGUGCAUGCGUCCAACUGGACAGGACUGUAUAGUCUCUUGAGAACCACAGGAAUGAAUUAAUAAUUAAACAUAUAAUGAAAUACUUUAUGGUAUGAAAGAUAAUAAAAUUCUUUACCACCUUUUUUUGACACAAUAAACAAAGGCAGUGUGGACAGUA